rnacentral:tRNA from 1 species
GCGGCUCAGUUUGUAGAGCGCCUGUCUAACAGGCAGGAAGCUUUGGGUUCAAUCCCCAGGCA